rnacentral:rRNA from 1 species
UACGUAGGGGCCGAGCGUUGUCCGGAGUUAUUGGGCGUAAAGCGCGCGCAGGCGGCUUCGCGCGUCCGACGUGAAAGCCCCCGGCUCAAUCGGGGAGGGUCGUUGGGUACGGCGGAGCUUGAGGGCGGUAGAGGUUGGUGGAAUUCCUGGUGUAGCGGUGAAAUGCGCAGAUAUCAGGAGGAACACCGAUGGCGAAGGCAGGUCUCUGGGCAUUAACUGACGCUGAGGAGCGAAAGCAUGGGGAGCGAACAGG